GUGUCAGCAGCCGCGGUAAUACGUAGGUGACAAGCGUUAUCCGGAAUUACUGGGCGUAAAGCGCACGCAGGCGGCGCAGUAAGUCUGAUGUGAAAUCUCCCGGCUUAACUGGGAGGGGUCAUUGGAAACUGCAGUGCUUGAGGCGGUGAGAGGGGUGUAGAAUUCCCGGUGUAGUGGUGGAAUGCGUAGAUAUCGGGAGGAAUACCAGUGGCGAAAGCGGCACCCUGGCACUAGCCUGACGCUCAUGUGCGAAGGCGUGGGGAGCGAACGGGAUUAGAUACCCCGGUAGUCC
rnacentral:rRNA from 1 species